rnacentral:rRNA from 1 species
AUUGAACGCUGGCGGUAGGCCUAACACAUGCAAGUCGAACGAGUGGCGGACGGGUGAGUAAUACAUGGGAAACUGCUUGGUCGAGGGGGAUAACGACUGGAAACGGUCGCUAAUACAGCAUACAAUUGAAUGAGCCGAGUUGGGAUUCGCUUGUUGGCGGGGUAACGGCUCACCAAGGCGACGAUCCGUAGCUGGUCUGAGAGGAUGACCAGUCACACUGGAACUGAGACACGGUCCAGACUCCUACGGGAGGCAGCAGUGGGGAAUAUUGCACAAUGGGCUCAAGCCUGAUCCAGCCAUGCCGCGUGUUGGAAGAAGGUCUUCGGAUUGUAAAGUACUUUAAGCUGGGAGGCGUUACCAGCAGAAGAAGCACCGGCUAACUUCGUGCCAGCAGCCGCGGUAAUUC